UACGUAGGGACCGAGCGUUGUCCGGAAUCAUUGGGCGUAAAGAGCGUGUAGGCGGCCACUUAAGUCCUGCGUGAAAUCUUGCGGCUCAACCGCAAGCGGUCGUGGGAAACUGGGCGGCUAGAGUGCGGGAGAGGAGAGUGGAAUUCCCAGUGUAGAGGUGAAAUUCGUAGAUAUUGGGAAGAACACCGGUGGCGAAGGCGGCUCACUGGACCGUUUCUGACGCUCAGGCGCGAAAGCGUGGGGAUCAAACAGG
rnacentral:rRNA from 1 species